rnacentral:rRNA from 1 species
CGGACGGGUGAGUAACGCGUGAGAACCUGCCCCUGGGAGAGGGAUACCAACUGGAAACGGUUGUUAAUACCUCAUAGGCUGAGGAGUAAAAUGGUUAACACCGCCUAGGGAUGGGCUUGCGUCUGAUUAGCUAGUUGGUGGGGCAAAGGCCUACCAAGGCAAUGAUCAGUAGCUGGUCUGAGAGGACAAUCAGCCACACUGGGACUGAGACACGGCCCAGACUUCUACGGGAGGCAGCAGUGAGGAAUUUUCCGCAAUGGGCGAAAGCCUGACGGAGCAAUGCCGCGUGGAGGAUGAAGGCCCGUGGGUUGUAAACUCCUUUUCUUAGAGAAGAAGUUCUGACGGUAUCUAAGGAAUAAGCAUCGGCUAACUCCGUGCCAGCAGCCGCGGUAAUACGGAGGAUGCAAGCGUUAUCCGGAAUCAUUGGGCGUAAAGGGUCC